GCAUUAAUGGGGUAGUGGUAACCUGGGUCGUUGCCAUCAUUGCACGCAUCCUUAACUCGACCCGCCGGGGGUUCGAUUCCCUCUUAAUGCA